rnacentral:lncRNA from 1 species
GUGGUAGUUGUAGUAGUGGUGGUGUUAAAAGUUGUAGUAGUGGUGGUAGUGGUAGUAGUGGUAGUUGUUGUAGUGGUGGUGGUGGUGGUGGUAGUUGUAGUAGUAGUGGUGGUGGUAGUUGUGGUAGUUGUAGUAGUUGUAGUAGUAGUAGUAGUAGUAGUAGCAGUACCAAUAGUAGUAGUAGUGGUGGUGGUAAUGGUAGUUGUAGUAGUAGUGGUGGUGGUAGUUGUAGUAGUAGUGGUGGUGGUGGUAGUUGUGGAGGUGGUAGUUGUAGUAGUAGUGGUGGUGGUAGUUGUGGUAGUUGUAGUAGUUGUAGUAGUAGUAGUAGUAGUAGUAGCAGUACCAAUAGUAGUAGUAGUGGUGGUGGUGGUAGUAGUUGUAGUAGUAGUAGUGGCGGUGGUGGUGUUAGUUGUAGUGGUGGUGGAGGUGGUGGUAGUUGUAGUGGUAGUAGUAGUAGCAGUAACAAUGGUAGUACCACUAGUAGUAGUAGUAGUAGUAGUAGUAGCAGUACCAAUAGUAGUAGUGGUGGUGGUGGUGGUAGUUGUAGUGGUGGUGGAGGUGGUGGUUGUAGUAGUAGUAGUGGUGGUGGAGGUGGUGGUUGUAGUAGUAGUGGUGGUGGUAGUUGUAGUAGUAGUGGUGGUGGUGGUAGUUGUGGUAGUUGUAGUGGUGGUGGUAGUUGUAGUAGUAGUAGUAGUACCACUAGUAGUAGUAGUGGUGGUGGUGGUGGUGGUAGUUGUAGUAGUAGUAGUAGUACCACUAGUAGUAGUAGUAGUAGUAGUAGUAGCAGUACCAAUAGUAGUAGUAGUGGUGGUGGUAAUGGUAGUGGUGGUAGUAGUAGUGGUGGUAGUAGUAGUGGUGGUGGAGGUGGUAGUGGUAGUAGUAGUUGUAGUAGUGGUAGUUGUACUAGUAGUGGGGGUGGUGGUAGUUGUAGUGGUGGUGGUGGUAGUGGUAGUAGUAGUAGUGGUGGUGGUAGUUGUAGUAGUAGUGGUGGUGGUGGAGGUGGUGGUUGUAGUAGUAGUGGUGGUGGUAGUUGUAGUAGUAGUGGUGGUGGUGGUAGUUGUAGUGGUGGAGGUGGUAGUUGUAGUGGUGGUGGUAGUUGUAGUAGUAGUAGUACCACUAGUAGUAGUAGUGGUGGUGGUAGUUGUAGUAGUAGUGGUGGUGGUGGUAGUUGUAGUAGUAGUAGUACCACUAGUAGUAGUAGUAGUAGCAGUACCAAUAGUAGUAGUAGUGGUGGUGGUAGUAGUUGUAGUAGUAGUAGUGGCGGUGGUAGUGGUGGUGUUAGUUGCAGUAGUAGUGGUGGUGGUAGUAGUAGUAGUAGUAGUAGUAGUAGUAGUAGUAGUGGUGGUAGUUGUAGUGGUAGUAGUAGUAGCAGUACCAAUAGUAGUACCACUAGUAGUAGUAGUAGUAGUAGUAGUAGUAGUAGUAGCAGUACCAAUAGUAGUAGUAGUGGUGGUGGUGGUAGUUGUAGUGGUGGUGGUAGUUGUAGUAGUACCACUAGUAGUAGUAGUAGUAGCAGUACCAAUAGUAGUGGUGGUGGUAGUAGUAGCAGUACCAAUAGUAGUGGUGGUAGUAGUCGUAGUGGUGGUGGUAGUACCAGUAGUAGUAGUAGUGGUGUUGGUAAUAGUAGUAGUAGUAGUAGUAGUAGUGGUGUUGGUAGUAAUAGUUGCAGUAGUAGUGUCAUUGACCAUGUGAUGGUUUACUAAUAGUUUUUCCCAGUGUCCACAGAAGUGUGGAGGUUGGACAUCUGUUUCCUCUUCUUUCCUCACCCUCUUCCUGCUUUCCUCUCAUCUCUCCAUCGCGGGGCCAGAAUGAGCUAAUAAUGAGCCAUGAUGAGUGUUCCUCAACAGACCGAAGGGAACUUAACAAGAAGAGAGGAAGAAGUGCAGGUCUUCAGGUUGUAAUGUGAAUAGCAGGACAGACUGCUCAUUAAAGCAGCUCACUGCAUCGUCACAAACACACAGGGGCUUUUAUGAGAACAGAACAGAGGAAGGCCACCCUAGUCAUAGACUGUUCUCUCUGCUACCGCACGGAAAGCGGUACCGGAGUGCCAAGACUA